rnacentral:rRNA from 1 species
UACGUAGGGGGGCAAGCGUUGUCCGGAAUCAUUGGGCGUAAAGAGCGUGUAGGCGGCUCGAUAAGUCCGCUGUGAAAGUCCAGGGCUCAACCCUGGAAGGCCGGUGGAAACUGUCGGGCUAGAGUCCGGAAGAGGCGAGUGGAAUUCCCCGGUGUAGAGGUGAAAUGCGUAGAUAUCUGGCAGGAACACCCGUGGCGAAAGCGGCGCGCUGGACCACUACUGA